GUAGGGUGCGAGCGUUGUCCGGAAUUAUUGGGCGUAAAGGGCUCGUAGGCGGUUUGUCACGUCGGGAGUGAAAACUCGGGGCUUAACCCCGAGCCUGCUUCCGAUACGGGCUGACUAGAGGUAUGCAGGGGAGAACGGAAUUCCUGGUGUAGCGGUGAAAUGCGCAGAUAUCAGGAGGAACACCGGUGGCGAAGGCGGUUCUCUGGACAUUACCUGACGCUGAGGAGCGAAAGUGUGGGGAGCGAACAGGAUUAGAUACCCUGGUAGUCCACACCGUAAACGUUGGGCGCUAGGUGUGGGACUCAUUCCACGAGUUCCGUGCCGCAGCUAACGCAUUAAGCGCCCCGCCUGGGGAGUACGGCCGCAAGGCU
rnacentral:rRNA from 1 species